UUGAUACUCCCUCCGUCCGAAAUUACUUGUCGUCAAAAUGGAUGUAUCUAGAACUAAAAUACAUAUAGAUACAUCCAUUUCAAUGACAAGUAUUUCCGGACGGAGGGAGUACUAA
rnacentral:pre_miRNA from 1 species